rnacentral:rRNA from 1 species
GUAGGGAAUAUUGGGCAAUGGUCGGAAGACUGACCCAGCCAUGCCGCGUGCAGGAAGACGGCCCUCUGGGUUGUAAACUGCUUUUAUCUGGGAAGAAAAAGGCCAUGCGUGGCAAAUUGCCGGUACCAGAUGAAUAAGCACCGGCUAACUCCGUGCCAGCAGCCGCGGUAAUACGGAGGGUGCGAGCGUUGUCCGGACUUAUUGGUUUUAAAGGGUGCGUAGGCGGCUGAUUAAGUCAGCGGUGAAAGACUUCGGCUUAACCGGAGCAGUGCCGUUGAUACUGGUUGGCUUGAGUGUCGGAGGGGUACAUGGAAUUGAUGGUGUAGCGGUGAAAUGCAUAGAUACCAUCAGGAACACCGAUAGCGAAGGCAUUGUACUGGCCGACAACUGACGCUGAUGCACGAAAGUGUGGGGAUCGAACAGGAUUAGAAACCCUGGUAGUCC